rnacentral:rRNA from 1 species
CCUACGGGUGGCAGCAGUGGGGAAUAUUGCACAAUGGGGGAAACCCUGAUGCAGCGACGCCGCGUGAGUGAAGAAGUAAUUCGUUAUGUAAAGCUCUAUCAGCAGGGAAGCAAAUGACGGUACCUGAGUAAGAAGCCCCGGCUAACUACGUGCCAGCAGCCGCGGUAAUACGUAGGGGGCAAGCGUUAUCCGGAUUUACUGGGUGUUAAGGGAGCGUAGACGGCAGUGCAAGUCUGGAGUGAAAGGCGGGGGGUCAAAUCCCAGACUGCGCUGGAAACUGUAUGGCUGGAGUGCAGGAGAGGUAAGUGGAAUGCGUGGUGUAGCGGUGAAAUGCGUAGAUAUUAGGAAGAACUCCAGUGGCGAAGGCGGCUUACUGGACUGUAACUGACGUUGAGGCACGAAAGCGUGGGGAGCGAACAGGAUUAGAUACCCUUGUAGUC